GACGAACGCUGGCGGCGUGCUUAACACAUGCAAGUCGAACGGAAAGGCCCUGCUUUUGUGGGGUGCUCGAGUGGCGAACGGGUGAGUAACACGUGAGUAACCUGCCCUUGACUUUGGGAUAACUUCAGGAAACUGGGGCUAAUACCGGAUAGGAGCUCCUGCUGCAUGGUGGGGGUUGGAAAGUUUCGGCGGUUGGGGAUGGACUCGCGGCUUAUCAGCUUGUUGGUGGGGUAGUGGCUUACCAAGGCUUUGACGGGUAGCCGGCCUGAGAGGGUGACCGGCCACAUCGGGACGGAGAUACGGCCCAGACUCCUACGGGAGGCAGCAGUGGGGAAUAGUGUACAAUGGGCGGAAGCCUGAUGCAGCAAAGCCGCGUGGGGGAUGACGGCCUUCGCGUUGUAAACCGCUGUCGCCUGUGACGAAGCGUGAGUGACGGUAAUGGGUAAAGAAGCACCGGCUAACUACGUG
rnacentral:rRNA from 1 species